CCAAUUUAGCUUAGGGUUUACACAUUUUAAUUCAUUCAUCACUUUCCUCUCAAGAACCCUAAGGAAGCCACCAUUGGAGAAAAGCUUGACUAGUAGCUUUGACUUCAUUUUUGGUGCCUUUUCACUCACCUUAGAACUUUGAACUUGGAAUACUCUUUAUUCCCCUCAUCCUCCUCUUCAAAACCCUUGAAGGAUCUAGCCUAACUCCUAGUUUUGCUUUGCUAUGUAGAGAUUCAAUUCUCUAGUGAGUUGAAGGUAGCAAGCUGAAAAAUCUGUUUUGCGGACUGAAAAUUUGGGGCGAUUUCAUUUCAGUGGUAAUUAGGAUUUUCAUUCCAAUUGAGGUACAGGACUCAGGAUUUGAAGAUUCCAUUGCUCCUUGGAUGGCUCACAGUUUCUAAGUUUCUAUUUUAUGCAAGUGUUAGCAUAAGAUGCCUCUUUGUAGCCCUAUUUGUUUAAACUUGUAUUCGUUGAUUCGUAUAUGUAAAGUGUAUGUAAGUGCACUCUUUUCAAUGUAUUUAACAUGUAUGAGAUGAGGCCGGAGGCCAAUGACAUGUAUCUCGUUUCCUAUGCACUUUUGUUUUUAAAGUUUAUUAUGAAAAUAUUGGAAAAUGUUAAGUCAU